GCCUGGAGGGGGAGGGGCGGGAAGGAGGGAGCGGCGGCGCGAGGUGCCCGCGCGCACCGGGCGUUUAGCUCCGGCGCGAGACGGGGAGAGAAGAGAAGUGACUGGAUCUCCGAGGCCCUAGUCUCAGUCUGUAAAAGGAGAGGCAGGACUAGAUGAGGAAUCCCAAACACACAUGCCUACGUGGGACAGACAGGACCAGGAUGGAGAGAGUUCUGGCCAGUGCAACUUCCAGGCCCCCUACUUUCCCUUCCCUACAGACUUAAACAAGGAUGUGGGAAUGGGUGUACGUGGUUUAGAGAGGAAAAAGUAUCUUCCAUUGGGAAUGGUCAUGACACAAUCCCCUUCUCCAACUCUUGCUCCUUUCAAGAUUUUAGGCACACACCACACAUGCCUGGCAUGUCUCUCAAGCUGCCAGGUCAGGGACUUGAACCAUGUGGCUGGCCACAUAGGAUUUGUCUGCCUAACCGGCAGGCCAGACUUGGCCCCUCAAUGUUUACUCUGCACCAUCACCCACCAUCAAGGUCUGACCAUCACUGCUGCCUCCAUUAUACCUUCCCUGGCAUAACACCCCAGUCAUAUCCUGUUCAACAUAUCCCUGUUUUUUUUCAUACCUUGUUAUAAUCAAUUACAAAUUAUGAUAAUGUUCUGUUAAAUGACCAAAAGCAGCAAGCUCUUUGAAAUAACGGAUGUGUGGAAUUCAGCUCUGCAUCCUGAGUCUUGGCCUGUCCUGUGGUCAAAGCUCAAAAAUAUAAUCAGCACAUUAAUGGAUCCAACACACACCUGUGGCAAAAUUCAGACAAUAGGAAACUGUAACAACCCCAAAUAGACUUUUAAUGACUGGGAUGUGGCUUAGACUCAAAAACUGAAUGGUCUAUCUAGGUCAAAGACAGAAGUCAAGAGUUCAGUAGGCUGUCUGAGAUUG